rnacentral:rRNA from 1 species
CAGUCGCCGCGGGAACACGAAGGGUGCAAGCGUUACUCGGAAUUACUGGGCGUAAAGCGUGCGUAGGUGGUGGUUUAAGUCCGUUGUGAAAGCCCUGGGCUCAACCUGGGAAUUGCAGUGGAUACUGGGUCACUAGAGUGUGGUAGAGGAUAGUGGAAUUUCCGGUGUAGCAGUGAAACGCGUAGAGAUCGGAAGGAACAUCUGUGGCGAAGGCGACUAUCUGGGCCAACACUGACACUGAGGCACGAAAGCGUGGGGAGCAAACAGGAUUAGAUACCCCCGUAGUCCCUGUCUCUUAUAA